rnacentral:rRNA from 1 species
UACGAAGGGGGCUAGCGUUGCUCGGAAUCACUGGGCGUAAAGGGUGCGUAGGCGGGUCUUUAAGUCAGGGGUGAAAUCCUGGAGCUCAACUCCAGAACUGCCUUUGAUACUGAAGAUCUUGAGUGCGGGAGAGGUGAGUGGAACUGCGAGUGUAGAGGUGAAAUUCGUAGAUAUUCGCAAGAACACCAGUGGCGAAGGCGGCUCACUGGCCCGGUACUGACGCUGAGGUGCGAAAGCGUGGGGAGCGAACAGG